UAUCUCUCCGUACGGGGAAGGAUGAGAAGCUUCGACUAAGGUUCGAUUCGAGCGCAGCGAGAAAACGUUGCCGCAGGCAACGACCCGAAGGGUGAGGAGCGGAGCGA
rnacentral:sRNA from 1 species